CUAGUACCGGCAUUAGGGCACUCAAAUACCACUUCUCCAAGGGCAGAGGAAAAUUGCAGGGCUAAGGAAUGCCAGUGCCUGUAACCAGCAGCACAUAAGGCAAGCAUUAUAUCCAGCUGCUUUUAAUUCUCUGACUGAAAUGACCAAAACCUCAUUCGUAACAUGGGAAGCCUGUAGCAGGAAUCCAGGAGACCCUGAAGCUUGAAGUAAGACCUUAGAAUGUCUCAACAAAUAAGUGUUGAUGAGAACUGAUUUCUCUGCAGGAGAAUAGCAGCAACAAUUUCCUCAUGUUCUUGACUGUUCAUAUAUGCAUUCCAAGGAAUCCAAAUCCUUUCUGCAUCUUUCCUAAACACUACGUGGAAAAAUGCAUUCAGAGACGGAUGGGCUUCUCUAUCAACAUGGACUUUUUGUCUCAUCUCAGCUGCAAGCUGUUCAAGCCACUUUCCAGUAAGACCAUCAGACCUCUCAGCUGGCACCGCUUUCACUCAUCUUCUACAUCCUCUACUCCUGUUCCAGUGUCUCUGGUCUAUUAUUUAAUUUGGCAGAAAAACACACUCGACUGGCCCAAAUACAUUUUCUGGCCUCCCAAGCUUUGCUGGCUGCCAGAAUGCUGGCAGGAGUUACAGCACUGUGGCAAUGCACUGCACUCCUGUAAACUUCCUGUCUGCAAGAUGAUUUGUUCAGACCAUUCUGCCUCCCUGCCCUUUAGGAGACGAAAUGAAUCCCGGGAACUUCUGGUCAGGCAGAGACUGUGAAAAUUUCGCUUUGUGCUCUGAGGGGACUCGUUGUUGUGACUUAAAUUGAAGAGACGGGAAUGCACUUCUCAAGGAGGCACCCAGAUCAUCACUCACAUUUCAGCACAUGUAGGAAGAAGUGGAGGAAACAGUUACCAGAGAUAUCUGAGUAAUGGUGUUAAUCACACAGACCAAAGAGGUGGGAAGAAAGAUUCAGCACAUCCAGAACUGGAAAGUGAGCUGCAGCAGGGAACAUCAGCAAGGACCAAAUAUUUCAAAGAGAAGCUGCCCUCUUUACUGCUUUGUAAAGAAAAUAUAUAUGGUUGAUCCAAAUGUGAAUUAUAUUUAUAUAUAUAGCAGAUGAAUGUAGCAUUUGUCACUGAG
ensembl:lncRNA